UACGAAGGUGGCAAGCGUUGUUCGGAUUUACUGGGCGUAAAGGGAGCGUAGGCGGUUUGGUAAGCCCUCUGGGAAAUCUCCCGGCUUAACCGGGAAAGGUCAGAGGGGACUGCCUGACUAGAGGACGGGAGAGGAGCGCGGAAUUCCCGGUGUAGCGGUGAAAUGCGUAGAGAUCGGGAGGAAGGCCGGUGGCGAAGGCGGCGCUCUGGAACGUUCCUGACGCUGAGGCUCGAAAGCGUGGGGAGCAAACAGG
rnacentral:rRNA from 1 species